rnacentral:rRNA from 1 species
GUCGAGGGGUAUUUGGAGCUUGCUCCAAAGAGACCGGCGCACGGGUGCGUAACGCGUAUGCAAUCUGCCUUGUACUGAGGGAUAGCCCGGAGAAAUCCGGAUUAAUACCUCAUGUGAUAUAUAGAUAGCCUUAUUUAUAUAUUAAAGAUUUAUCGGUACAAGAUGAGCAUGCGUCCCAUUAGCUAGUUGGUAUGGUAAAGGCAUACCAAGGCAAUGAUGGGUAGGGGUCCUGAGAGGGAGAUCCCCCACACUGGUACUGAGACACGGACCAGACUCCUACGGGAGGCAGCAGUGAGGAAUAUUGGUCAAUGGACGGAAGUCUGAACCAGCCAUGCCGCGUGCAGGACGACGCAUCUAUGGUGUGUAAACUGCUUUUAUACGGGAAGAAACCUCUCUACGCGUAGAGACUUGACGGUACCGUAAGAAUAAGGAUCGGCUAACUCCGUGCCAGCAGCCGCGGUAAUACGGAGGAUUCGAGCGUUAUCCGGAAUCAUUGGGUUUAAAGGGUCCGUAGGCGGGCUGUUAAGUCAGGGGUGAAAGUUUUCGGCUUAACCGAAAAAUUGCCUUUGAUACUGAUAGUCUUGAAUAUUUGUGAAGUAACUAGAAUAUGUGGUGUAGCGGUGAAAUGCAUAGAUAUCACAUGGAAUACCGAUUGCGAAGGCAGGUUACUAACAGAUUAUUGACGCUGAUGGACGAAAGCGUGGGUAGCGAACAGGAUUAGAUACCCUGGUAGUCCACGCCGUAAACGACGGAUACUAGCUGUUUGGACAGAUUGAUGUUUGAGUGGCUAAGCGAAAGUGAUAAGUAUCCCACCUGGGGAGUACGUUCGCAAGAAUGAAACUCAAAGGAAUUGACGGGGGCCCGCACAAGCGGUGGAGCAUGUGG